rnacentral:lncRNA from 1 species
UAUACACUUAUACCUCGAUGGUAAAUUAAUUUAGACAUUAUGUUUUAUAGUUAAGGGGUGGGGUUUAGGGUUUAGGGUUUAGAGUUUAGGGUUUAGAGUUUAGAGUUUAGGGGUGGGGUUUAGGGUUUAGAGUUUAGAGUUAAGGGGUGGGGUAUAGGAUUUAGGGUUUAGGAUUUAGGGUUUAGAGUUUAGGGUUUAGGGUUUAGGGUUUAGAGUUUAGGUUUUAGGGUUUAGAGUUGGGGGUUUGGGGUAAGAUUUCUAAUUUUGAGAAAAAAAAAAAAAAAAAAAGGUAAAUCUCUAAAAUAGCAUAUUUCUAAGUUUAUGUCAUAAAAAUAGCUCUCAAAAACUAAAAUGACCAAAAUAGCAUUUUAUUUUUGAAAAAUUUAAAUUUUUUUUAUUUUCCAAAAUUUGAAAUCCUAUCCCAAAACCCCACUCCCCAACUCUAAACCCUAAAACCUAAACUCUAAACCCUAAAUCC